rnacentral:rRNA from 1 species
GCAAGUCGAACGAGAAAGCACUUCGGUGUGAGUAGAGUGGCGCACGGGUGAGUAACACGUGGGUAAUCUAGCCUUUAGUGGGGAACAACAGUGAGAAAUUACUGCUAAUACCGCAUAAUCUGGAACAGGAAAGGGGGCUUCGGCUCUCGCUGAAGGAUGAGCCCGCGGGACAUUAGCUUGAUGGUGGGGUAAUGGCCUACCAUGGCAACGAUGUCUAGCUGGUCUGAGAGGAUGAUC